AAGUCGUAACAAGGUAUCUGUAGGUGAACCUGCAGAUGGAUCAUUUCGAUGAAAACCUUUUUUCCGAGGUGUGGCUCGCACCUGUCCAACUAAACUUGAGCUACCCAACUUUUUCACACGGUUGCAUCGGUCGGCUGUCAAACAGUGCGGAAACGCGCUGGGAGGCGGACGGCACAAUCUAACAACACACUUUUGAUGAUCUAGGAUUUGAAAGAAAAAAGUUCAUUUUUUAAUGACGAAGCUCGACUGGUAAUGCGGUCGACUAAAUCUUAAAAACAACUUUUGGCAACGGAUCUCUUGGUUCUCC
rnacentral:misc_RNA from 1 species